UACGUAGGGUGCGAGCGUUAAUCGGAAUUACUGGGCGUAAAGCGUGCGCAGGCGGUUCGUUGUGUCGGCGGUGAAAGCCCCGGGCUCAACCUGGGAAUGGCCGUUGAAACUGGCGAACUGGAGUGUGGCAGAGGGGGGUGGAAUUCCGCGUGUAGCAGUGAAAUGCGUAGAGAUGCGGAGGAACACCGAUGGCGAAGGCAGCCCCCUGGGCUAGCACUGACACUCAGGCACGAGAGCGUGGGGAGCAAACAGG
rnacentral:rRNA from 1 species